rnacentral:rRNA from 1 species
UACGUAGGCAGCAAGCGUUGUUCGGAGUUACUGGGCGUAAAGGGUGUGUAGGCGGUUGGAUAAGUGUGGUGUGAAAUCUCCCGGCUUAACUGGGAGGGUGCGCUACAAACUGUCUGACUAGAGUGUGGGAUGGGUAAGUGGAAUUCCUGGUGUAGCGGUGAAAUGCGCAGAUAUCGGGAGGAACACCGGUGGCGAAGGCGGUUCUCUGGGCCUGUACUGACGCUGAGGAGCGAAAGCGUGGGGAGCGAACAGG